rnacentral:lncRNA from 1 species
ACAGUCACCUUGACAUUGCUCACCUGCCUGGGCCUCAGCCCAUGACCAAGGAAACUUUUGCCCUCCCUCCCCAGGAGCUCACUUACAGGCCAUCUUCAAAGGUACUGCCUACCUGAACCUGCCUUGUCCCAAAGGACACACUUCAAUCUGGGGAGAGUUUAAAGUUGUAGACAUAUCCAUUUUCAUUUAAGGAAUAUGAAGAUCAGGGAGGCAAAAUAUAGAGAUAUAGAGAGGAAAAACUGAGAGAUGAUCAGAAAUUCAGACGCAUUCGGAAUGAGCACCCUUGACCAUACCAAGAACAAAGACUCUAUAAAAAUGUGAAGUCUUAUUAUUGUUCAUCCAUGUUCUACGUGGGAUCCACCCAAGACAUUGAAAACUGUACAGAACAGGGUGAAAUUGAAUCAGAUCAUUCUGUACUCCUAACAAGGUCCACCCCAUGAGAGACUUGCAGCAGAAUUAAUGACACUGUAUAUUUUCCUCUACUAACAACAACAAGAACAACAACAACAACAAUCUAGGAAAAUCAAAGGCAGCCCGACAUGGAAAAAAACACAAAAUGAAUAUUUGGAUUACAAAUAGUGUGAUGGGAAGAACACACUGCCAAAAGUCCACCUAGUAUGUUGAAAUUACUGUUUCUAGCACAUAUAAGAUGAGGAAAAGGAAGAUCAAAAAGGUCAUAUCAUUUGCUUACAUAAACAGUGAUGAAAUUCAGAUUCAACCUUGGAACUUUGGAUCUCAUGCCCUGUCACAAACGGGACUUAGGAAACCAACUGGCUUUCAUCUAGAUUUGCUGCCAAUUUGUACUGACUUCUGAAAAAUACUUUAUCCAUUGUCUUCUUACAUCAGAAUCAACUCCCUAAAUUCUUCAGCACUGGCUUUGUAAACUGGUUUCUGGUCUUUGUUUCUGUCAACUUACCUAUAAAAGGAUACAAAAACUGAAGAACAGAGAGGAGCAGAUACCCUGGAAAGCCGAAAGUUUUAUUGACCAAAGACUGAGUCUCGGAAUGUUUUGAUUGUGGAGUUUAUAGAGUUCAGGCUGAAGUUUUAUAAAAAUAACUUGCAGCAGCAUGGAGGACUGAUGAGAAAGUAGACAGAUGCUGGAAGCAGGAAAACUGAACAGCAGGUCACUGGCCAAGGAGAAUCAAAGAGCUAGAUGCUGAGAAUAAUGCAGCCAUAACGUGAAAUCUUUUUGAGGCUCCGUGGUGGUCUUAAAAUAUAUCCACAAAUUUUCUGACAUCCUCUCUUCAAGAAGUGGAGCUUAAUUCCCUUUCCUUUGAGUGCAGACCACUCACUCUGGGAGAAAGCAACUGGCUAUGUCAUGAGGAAAUUGAAACCACCUAUGGAGAAAGGCCCACAUGGUGAGAAAGUAAAGCCUCUUCCCAAUACCAAAAUUCUGUAAGUCUGCUACGGUGACAUUUCUGGUUAGGAGUCAGAGUGGAUGGGACACUGAGCAAUAAGGCAAAGUUGGACAUCCCAAAGAUGGCAUAGAUAAACAUGACCAGGAAGAGCAGGAGGCCGAUGUUAAACAACGCAGGAAGGGACAUCAUCAAAGCAAAGAGCAGCGUGCGGAUCCCCUUUGCUCCUUUGAUCAGACGUAGGAUUCGGCCAAUCCUGGCAAGACGGAUCACUCGGAACAAGCACGCGGAACACAAUCAGGAAGGAGUGGAAGAAGUCGUUCAUGUGCCACCGUGGGAGCGUACAGUCAUCAUUGAUCUUGCAGACACAUUCUUUGUAGCUCUUACCAAAGAGCUGCAUGCCGACCACAGCAAAAAUGAAGACGAUGAUGGCCAACACCAAGGCUCCGAGCACAUCAUUGGCACCAAAAUAGAGCAAAGGACUGUG